UAAGGAUUUAUUCUUAUGGGAAGGAUGUUAGGCUGAAGAUUUCGAGGGAGGGAGACACUGCAGUUACCCUUCUGAGACCAGUGGGACAAGUGGACUCAGGAGGGUUUGUCCACAGUGGCAUGGAUGUUUAAAUAUGUGACAAUUGCUUCCAUGUUCAAAUAAAACUUUAGUAUGCAGUAGAGGUCUUGCCACUUUGUGCAGUGCACCAUUCAGAGCACACCAAGCUUGAAAAUGUCCAAAGAGACCUCCUAGACUUUAUCCAAUGCCACUUUAAAUAUGGUGAUGGUGGGGAGAAAAAUAAUGCUGAUCACCAGCCCAACCCUGUCCUUUUUCUAUAUACCUCUUUAGAUGAUACAUAAGUCUCCCCAGUUGGUUUGGCUGCCAUUCUGCUUUACUCCAAUACCUGCAAGUUAAAAUUUCUUGAACUCUGUAGUGUGCUGUAUAUUAUGAAAGUGUACCAUCUCAAAGCAUGUGAAACUGUGAUCACCUGGGAUUAGCCAAAAAAAAUCUGGUGCUCGUUUUUUUUGGAUGACUGACUUCAUAGAAUCAUAUAGAGAGACAGGCUGGAAGAGGCCUUGAAGUCAAGUUGUGCACCUGUGGAGAGGCAAGACCAAAAAUAAUCUUCACAUCAUCUGGACUGAGGCAAAGCAUAAGACAUUUCAGCCCCAAAGGAGGG